rnacentral:rRNA from 1 species
CAUAGGUUAAUGAGGCGAACCGGGGGAACUGAAACAUCUAAGUACCCCGAGGAAAAGAAAUCAACCGAGAUUCCCCCAGUAGCGGCGAGCGAACGGGGAGCAGCCCAGAGCCUGAAUCAGUGUGUGUGUUAGUGGAAGCGUCUGGAAAGGCGCGCGAUACAGGGUGACAGCCCCGUACACAAAAAUGCACAUACUGUGAGCUCGAUGAGUAGGGCGGGACACGUGGUAUCCUGUCUGAAUAUGGGGGGACCAUCCUCCAAGGCUAAAUACUCCUGACUGACCGAUAGUGAACCAGUACCGUGAGGGAAAGGCGAAAAGAACCCCGGCGAGGGGAGUGAAAAAGAACCUGAAACCGUGUACGUACAAGCAGUGGGAGCACGCUUAGGCGUGUGACUGCGUACCUUUUGUAUAAUGGGUCAGCGACUUAUAUUCUGUAGCAAGGUUAACCGAAUAGGGGAGCCGAAGGGAAACCGAGUCUUAACUGGGCGUUAAGUUGCAGGGUAUAGACCCGAAACCCGGUGAUCUAGCCAUGGGCAGGUUGAAGGUUGGGUAACACUAACUGGAGGACCGAACCGACUAAUGUUGAAAAAUUAGCGGAUGACUUGUGGCUGGGGGUGAAAGGCCAAUCAAACCGGGAGAUAGCUGGUUCUCCCCGAAAGCUAUUUAGGUAGCGCCUCGUGAAUUCAUCUCCGGGGGUAGAGCACUGUUUCGGCAAGGGGGUCAUCCCGACUUACCAACCCGAUGCAAACUGCGAAUACCGGAGAAUGUUAUCACGGGAGACACACGGCGGGUGCUAACGUCCGUCGUGAAGAGGGAAACAACCCAGACCGCCAGCUAAGGUCCCAAAGUCAUGGUUAAGUGGGAAACGAUGUGGGAAGGCCCAGACAGCCAGGAUGUUGGCUUAGAAGCAGCCAUCAUUUAAAGAAAGCGUAAUAGCUCACUGGUCGAGUCGGCCUGCGCGGAAGAUGUAACGGGGCUAAACCAUGCACCGAAGCUGCGGCAGCGACGCUGAUGCGUUGUUGGGUAGGGGAGCGUUCUGUAAGCCUGUGAAGGUGUGCUGUGAGGCAUGCUGGAGGUAUCAGAAGUGCGAAUGCUGACAUAAGUAACGAUAAAGCGGGUGAAAAGCCCGCUCGCCGGAAGACCAAGGGUUCCUGUCCAACGUUAAUCGGG